rnacentral:lncRNA from 1 species
AUGAUAACUGAUCAUAAUAUAGAUGUGCUCUGUUUGACAGAAACCUGGCUAAAACCUGAUGAUUACAUUAUUUUAAAUGAGUCCACCCCCCAAGAUUACUGUUAUAAACAUGAGCCGCGUCUAAAAGGCAAAGGGGGAGGAGUUGCUUCAAUUUAUAACAACGUUUUCAGGAUUUCUCAGAGGGCAGGCUUCAAGUAUAACUCAUUUGAAGUAAUGAUGCUUCAUAUAACAUUAUCCAGAGAAACAAAUGUUAAUGAUAAAUCCCCUGUUAUGUUUGUACUGGCACCUGUAUACAGGCCACCAGGGCACCAUACAGACUUUAUUAAAGAGUUUGGUGAUUUUACAUCCGAGUUAGUUCUGGCUGCAGAUAAAGUUUUAAUAGUUGGUGAUUUUAAUAUCCAUGUCGAUAAUGAAAAAGAUGCAUUGGGAUCAGCAUUUAUAGACGUUCUGAACUCUAUUGGUGUUAGACAACAUGUUUUAGGACCUACUCAUUGUCGAAAUCAUACUCUAGAUUUAAUACUGUCACAUGGAAUUGAUGUUGAUAGUGUUGAAAUUAUUAAGCCAAGUGAUGAUAUCUCAGAUCAUGAUUUAGUUCUGUGCAAACUUCAUAUAGCCAAAAUUGUAAAUUCGACUUCUUGUUACAAGUAUGGAAGAACCAUCACUUCUACCACAAAAGACUGCUUUUUAAGUUAUCUUCCUGAUGUAUCCAAAUUCCUUAGCAUAUCCAAAACCUCAGAACAACUUGAUGUAACAGAAACUAUGGACUCUCUCUUUUCUAGCACUUUAAAUACAGUUGCUCCUUUACGCUUAAGGAAGGUUAAGGAAACCAGUUUGACACCAUGGUAUAAUGAGCAUACUCGCACCCUAAAGAGAGCAGCCCGAAAAAUGGAGCGCAGCUGGAGGAAAACAAAACUAGAGGUAUUUCGUAUAGCUUGGCGGGAAAGUAGCAUAUCCUACAGAAAAGCAUUAAAAAAAGCUAGAUCUGAUUACUUCUCUUCUCUUUUAGAAGAAAACAAACAUAACCCCAGGUAUUUAUUCAAUACAGUGGCUAAAUUAACGAAAAAUAGAGCCUCAACAAGUGUUGACAUUUCCCAACACCACAACAGUAAUGACUUUAUGAACUACUUUACUUCUAAAAUCUUCUAA